rnacentral:rRNA from 1 species
AUUGAACGCUGGCGGCAUGCCUUACACAUGCAAGUCGAACGGCAGCACGGGAGCAAUCCUGGUGGCGAGUGGCGAACGGGUGAGUAAUAUAUCGGAACGUGCCCAGUCGUGGGGAUAACGUAGCGAAAGCUACGCUAAUACCGCAUACGAUCUAUGGAUGAAAGCGGGGGAUCGCAAGACCUCGCGCGAUUGGAGCGGCCGAUAUCAGAUUAGGUAGUUGGUGAGGUAAAGGCUCACCAAGCCGACGAUCUGUAGCUGGUCUGAGAGGACGACCAGCCACACUGGGACUGAGACACGGCCCAGACUCCUACGGAGGCAGCAGUGGGGAAUUUUUGGACAAUGGGCGCAAGCCUGAUCCAGCAAUGCCGCCGUGCAGGAUGAAGGCCUUC